GUAAGUAUAGUUUAGCCAAAACAUCAGAUUGUGAUUCUGAAAAUAGAGGUUAAAACCCUCUUACUCACC
rnacentral:tRNA from 1 species